GGAAAUCCAAAGCUCGACUAAGCUCUUCGCAGAUGACACAAAUAUUUACCGAAAAUUAGUAGACAAAGUUGCUGAUACUAGUAUUUUACAAUCUGAUUUAGACCGUAUGAGAAAUUGGAAUGAAAAUUGGCAACUAAACUUCAACUUUGAGAAAUGCGAAGUAAUGCGAAUAACACACUUAAAAGACCUCCCCCUACCCGAAUACUAUCUGUCAGAUAAGAAACUUGAAGUAACAGACAAAUUUAAAGAUCUAGGUAUCAUGAUGACACAUAA